rnacentral:rRNA from 1 species
GUCGAACGGAAGUCGUUAUAAAAAGGAUUGAAGAUUUAUCUGAUUGAGAUCUUAUAACAAUGGCUUUAGUGGCGGACUGGUGAGUAACGCGUGAGCAACCUGCCUACUAGAGGGGAAUAACAGUGAGAAAUCAUUGCUAAUACCGCAUAUGCCAUGAACAUCACAUGAUGAAAAUGGGAAAAGAGUAAUCUGCUAGUAGAUGGGCUCGCGUCUGAUUAGAUAGUUGGUGGGGCAACGGCCUACCAAGUCGACGAUCAGUAGCCGGACUGAGAGGUUGAACGGCCACAUUGGGACUGAGAUACGGCCCAGACUCCUACGGGAGGCAGCAGUCGGGAAUAUUGCGCAAUGGAGGAAACUCUGACGCAGUGACGCCGCGUAUAGGAAGAAGGUUUUCGGAUUGUAAACUAUUGUCGUUAGGGAAGAUACAAGACAGUACCUAAGGAGGAAGCUCCGGCUAACUACGUGCCAGCAGCCGCGGUAAUACGUAGGGAGCAAGCGUUAUCCGGAUUUAUUGGGUGUAAAGGGUGCGUAGACGGGACAACAAGUUAGUUGUGAAAUCCCUCGGCUUAACUGAGGAACUGCAACUAAAACUAUUGUUCUUGAGUGUUGGAGAGGAAAGUGGAAUUCCUAGUGUAGCGGUGAAAUGCGUAGAUAUUAGGAGGAACACCGGUGGCGAAGGCGACUUUCUGGACAAUAACUGACGUUGAGGCACGAAAGUGUGGGGAGCAAACAGGAUUAGAUACCCUGGUAGUC